rnacentral:lncRNA from 1 species
UAUAUGUCAUUUGUAAAGUCUCUGACCAAGCUUCGACUUCACUCCUUCCUUGUUGCAUCUAUAUUCACAUAAUCCAUUAAUAUAUAAAAAAAUUAGAUAUAAAUUAUAAAUAAAUUACCAAUUCAUGACGUCUUUGUGCUAAUCCUUUUGAACCAGCGUGAUGUGUCAUUUGAUUCGCUCGGUUCACGGUAUUUAUCUCGGAAAUUUGCUGAAAUUAUAAAAAAUAAUAAAUUUCUAAAUUUAUUAAUAUAAUAAAUAUAUAUAUAUAUAUAUACAUAUACAUACCUUUCCUUUUUCCGAUCGAUGCUGUCUCAAUUUAUUCAGAAAUUGAGGUUUGCUGACAUA